AUACGGGCCGUACAUUUUAACUAAGUCCCCAAUUAUGUAGGAGAGAACUAGAAUGCUAAAUUGUAGCAUUCUUUUCAGUUAGAGAAUUAGAGAACUUUAAUUUUUUUGGUGUCGUGUACUUAGUUAAGAAGUCAAGAGCUCCAGCAUGCUUAUUUGGGCCACAUUUUCGGGAUAUUGGAUAAGUUUUACAUAUUCUAUAAGUUAGGGAUUGGGAUGUUGAUUUUGAUCCAGAGAAAUAAUAGCCUACAGGCUUGACAAUUAUUCCCCACUUCUUUAGGAGAUUACAAGUAAUGGAUACCCCAAAGUUGAAACCUUUCUUCGAAGAUUUAUUCACUUUGCUAGUCAUUAUUAAGUAUGCACACAGUUCUUAAGUCACACCCCAAUGAUCAAUAAUGAGUCAUUACUGAUAUGCGUUCAGAAGCUCAAUUUUUCUUUUAACAGUGAAAUUCAGGUGGUCAUAUGUUUGAUAUUCAGAAUGGAUGGGGGACGGGGACUAUGAAUUCAAGUUAUAGCAGCGUUGAUAACAAUCAGUAAAUUUGGCAAGCUCACAAAUCACAACAAACAUACACACUGACAUCAUAUCGUAGAGUUGCCCACGGAAGUCUUUUGUAUUUAUUUGAUUGAGAUGAUUUUACGUGGAUUUGUUUGAAUCUGGAAGAAGCUCAUUCUAUCUUUACUUUAAUCAUGUAAACCACUUUUCAAAUAUUGAUACUUUGCGUCAUAAUCGUUAUUGUCAACAGUAAUUUUUAACCUAA